rnacentral:lncRNA from 1 species
CGUUAUCAUUUUAAUAAAACGAUUGUUACCUUUUCAGCUUUCGAUAUACAAGGAUCUUGUGAUUAUACAAACUUAAGGGUAGAUACUGGAGCCAAUUCUGUAGAGUUAUGUAAAAAUGCCGAUCCUAGAACAAUAUACCGAUCAAAAUCGACAAUUACCAUCACGUAUACUUCUUCUAUCCACAAUGGAGGCACAGGAUGGAUUGCCAUCUUCCAAGCAGUAUCCUCAGAUGUGACAGACAUCAAUUAAAAGGUGGUUGAGAAGUUUGUUUUCUAUUAUGUUUUUAUUUAGAUAUUGUAUUAAAAAUAAAAUUUGAUAAAUAUAAA